CAUAAUAUAAGACUGACAACGAACAGCAGGGAGGACUAAUCAUAAAAAAGUACUUAGAGAUUUAGAGCGUAAGGGGGAUUGAGGGAGCCAUUCCUUUUUUAGCUUCAGCAUCUGCGUCUAUAUAAUCAAUGGUAGCCGCGAAUCACGAUAACAAUAAAGUAAACUAGUGUCUAAUAUCGUAACAGGCUAAUUACAUUUAAAAGCGCCGAGGAUCACAAAG